rnacentral:rRNA from 1 species
AGAACGAACGCUGGCGGCAUGCCUAAUACAUGCAAGUCGAACGAACACUUCGGUGUUAGUGGCGCACGGGUGCGUAACGCGUGGGAAUCUGCCCUUGGGUUCGGAAUAACAGUUGGAAACGACUGCUAAUACCGGAUGAUGACGAAAGUCCAAAGAUUUAUCGCCCAGGGAUGAGCCCGCGUAGGAUUAGCUAGUUGGUGAGGUAAAGGCUCACCAAGGCGACGAUCCUUAGCUGGUCUGAGAGGAUGAUCAGCCACACUGGGACUGAGACCACGGCCCAGACUCCGUACGGGAGGCAG